rnacentral:rRNA from 1 species
CGCAAGCGGUUUGUUAAGUCAGAUUUUGAAAUCUCCGGGGACCACCCGGGAACUCCAUCUGAAACUGCAAGCUAGAGUCUCGUAGAGGGGGGUAGAAUUCGAGGUGUAGCGGUGAAAUGCCGUAGAGAUCUGGAGGAAUACCGGUGGCGAAGGCGGCCCCCUGGACGAAGACUGGACGCUCAGGUGCGAAAGCGUGGGGAGCAAACAGGAUUAGAUACCCUGGUAGUCCCGCUGUAAAACGAUGUCGAUUUGGAGGUUGUGCCCUUGAGGCGUGGCUUCCGGAGCUAACGCGUUAAAUCGACCGCCUGGGGAGUACGGUCCGCAAGGCUUAAAACUCAAAUGAAUUGACGGGGGCCCGCGCAAGCGGUGGAGCAUGUGGUUUAAUUCGAUGCAACGCGAAGAACCUUGGGGCCCCAUUGGCAGGGCGGCACCUACUCUUGACAUCCAGAGAACUUAGCAGAGAUGCUUUGGUGCCUUCGGGAACUCUGAGACAGGUGCUGCAUGGCUGUCGUCAGCUCGUGUUGUGAAAUGUUGGGUUAAGUCCCGCAACGAGCGCAACCCUUAUCCUUGGUGUUGCCAGCGGUUCGGCCGGGAACUCAAAGGAGACUGCCAGUGAUAAACUGCAGGUAGCUCGGUAUGGACUUCAAGUCAUCAUGGCCCUUACGAGUAGGGCCGGGUAAAUUGACUACGCACGUGCUACAAUGGCGUAUACAAAGAGAAGCGACCUCGCGAGAGCAAGCGGACCUCAUAAAGUACGUCGUAGUCCGGAUUGGAGUCCGGGGGGUGCAACUGCGACUCCAUGAAGUCGGAAUCGCUUGUAAUCGUAGAUCAGAAUGCUACGGUGAAUACGUUCCCGGGCCUAGUACACACCGCCCGUCACACCAUGGGAGUGGGUUGCAA